rnacentral:rRNA from 1 species
UACGUAGGGUGCAAGCGUUGUCCGGAAUUAUUGGGCGUAAAGAGCUCGUAGGCGGUUUGUCGCGUCUGCUGUGAAAACCCGAGGCUCAACCUCGGGCCUGCAGUGGGUACGGGCAGACUAGAGUGCGGUAGGGGAGAUUGGAAUUCCUGGUGUAGCGGUGGAAUGCGCAGAUAUCAGGAGGAACACCGGUGGCGAAGGCGGGUCUCUGGGCAGUAACUGACGCUGAGGAGCGAAAGCGUGGGGAGCAAACAGG